rnacentral:rRNA from 1 species
AGCAGCCGCGGUAAUUCCAGCUCCAAUAGCGUAUAUUAAAGUUGUUGCAGUUAAAAAGCUCGUAGUUGAAUUUCGGGAUUUAUCCAUUGGUCAGGCUUAACUGUCUGUACUGGUGUGACGAAUUCUUACCUUCUGAGGAAUCUUCAUGCCAUUUAUUUGGUGUGUGGGGGAAUCAGGACUGUUACUUUGAAAAAAUUAGAGUGUUUAAAGCAGGCUAACGUCUGAAUACAUUAGCAUGGAAUAAUAAAAUAGGACGGUUUGGUUCUAUUUUGUUGGUUUCUAGGAUCACCGUAAUGAUUAAUAGGGAUAGUUGGGGGCAUUAGUAUUCAAUUGUCAGAGGUGAAAUUCUUGGAUUUAUUGAAGACUAACUACUGCGAAAGCAUUUGCCAAGGAUGUUUUCAUUAAUCAAGAACGAAAGUUAGGGGAUCGAAGACGAUCAGAUACCGUCGUAGUCUUAACCAUAAACUAUGCCGACUAGGGAUCGGACGAAGUUAAUUUUUAAAUGACUCGUUCGGCACCUUACG